rnacentral:rRNA from 1 species
UACGAGAGGUGCAAGCGUUAUCCGGAAUCAUUGGGCGUAAAGCGUCCGCAGCCGGUUAUUUAAGUCCGGGGUGAAAUUACGGUGCUUACCACCGUAAAUGUCUUGGAAACUGGAUAGCUAGAGUAAUGCAGGGGCAGAUGGAAUUCUCGUUGUAGGGGUAAAAUCCGUAGAUAACGAGAGGAACACCAAAAGCGAAGGCAGUCUGCUGGGCAUUCACUGACGGUCAGGGACGAAAGCGUGGGGAGCAAACGGG